rnacentral:rRNA from 1 species
GACGAACGCUGGCGGCGUGCUUAACACAUGCAAGUCGAGCGGUAAGGCUCCCUUUGGGGGGUACACGAGCGGCGAACGGGUGAGUAACACGUGAGUAAUCUGCCCUUCACUCUGGGAUAAGCACCGGAAACGGUGUCUAAUACCGGAUACGACCAACUGCUGCAUGGUGUGUUGGUGGAAAGUUUUUUCGGUGGGGGAUGUGCUCGCGGCCUAUCAGCUUGAUGGUGAGGUAAUGGCUCACCAAGCCUACGACGGGUAGCCGGCCUGAGAGGGUGACCGGCCACACUGGGACUGAGACACGGCCCAGACUCCUACGGGAGGCAGCAGUGGGGAAUAUUGCACAAUGGGCGAAAGCCUGAUGCAGCAACGCCGCGUGAGGGACGACGGCCUUCGGGUUGUAAACCUCUUUUAGUAGGGAAGAAGCGAAAGUGACGGUACCUGCAGAAAAAGCACCGGCUAACUACGUGCCAGCAGCCGCGGUAAUACGUAGGGUGCAAGCGUUGUCCGGAAUUAUUGGGCGUAAAGAGCUCGUAGGCGGUUUGUCGCGUCUGCUGUGAAAACUGGAGGCUCAACCUCCAGCCUGCAGUGGGUACGGGCAGACUAGAGUGCGGUAGGGGAGAUUGGAAUUCCUGGUGUAGCGGUGGAAUGCGCAGAUAUCAGGAGGAACACCGAUGGCGAAGGCAGAUCUCUGGGCCGUAACUGACGCUGAGGAGCGAAAGCAUGGGGAGCGAACAGGAUUAGAUACCCUGGUAGUCC